GAUGAACGCUGGCGGCGUGCCUAAUACAUGCAAGUCGAGCGAACGGACGAGAAGCUUGCUUCUCUGAUGUUAGCGGCGGACGGGUGAGGAACACGUGGAUCACCUACCUAUAAGACUGGGAUAACUACGGGAAACCGGAGCUAAUAACGGAUGAUAUUUUGAACCGCAUGGUUCAAAAGUGAAAGACGGUCUUGCUGUCACUUAUCGAUGGAUCCGCGCUGCAUUAGCUAGUUGGUAAGGUAACGGCUUACCAAGGCAACGAUGCAUAGCCGACCUGAGAGGGGGAUCGGCCACACUGGAACUGAGCCACGGUCCAGACUACUACGGGAGGCAGCAGUAGGGAAUCUACCGCAAUGGGCGAAAGCCUGACGGAGCAACGCCGCGUGAGUGAUGAAGGUCUUCGGAUCGUAAAACUCUGUUAUUAGGGAAGAACAUAUGUGUAAGUAACUGUGCACAUCUUGACGGUACCUAAUCAGAAAGCCACGGCUAACUACGUG
rnacentral:rRNA from 1 species